rnacentral:rRNA from 1 species
UACGAAGGGGGCUAGCGUUGUUCGGAAUCACUGGGCGUAAAGGGCGCGUAGGCGGCUUUGUUUGUCAGGCGUGAAAGCCCCGGGCUUAACCUGGGAACUGCGUUUGAUACGGCAGGGCUAGAGUUCGGGAGAGGAGAGUGGAAUUCCCAGUGUAGAGGUGAAAUUCGUAGAUAUUGGGAAGAACACCGGUGGCGAAGGCGGCUCUCUGGACCGACACUGACGCUGAGGCGCGAAAGCGUGGGGAGCAAACAGG